AGCGAACGCUGGCGGCAGGCUUAACACAUGCAAGUCGAGCGGGCACUUUCGGGUGUCAGCGGCGGACGGGUGAGUAACGCGUGGGAACGUGCCCUCUGGUUCGGAAUAACUCAGGGAAACUUGAGCUAAUACCGGAUACGCCCUUUUGGGGAAAGGCUUGCUGCCGGAGGAUCGGCCCGCGUCUGAUUAGCUAGUUGGUGAGGUAACGGCUCACCAAGGCGACGAUCAGUAGCUGGUCUGAGAGGAUGAUCAGCCACACUGGGACUGAGACACGGCCCAGACUCCUACGGGAGGCAGCAGUGGGGAAUAUUGGACAAUGGGCGCAAGCCUGAUCCAGCCAUGCCGCGUGAGUGAUGAAGGCCUUAGGGUUGUAAAGCUCUUUUAUCCGGGACGAUAAUGACUGUACCGGAGGAAUAAGCCCCGGCUAACUUCGUG
rnacentral:rRNA from 1 species